rnacentral:rRNA from 1 species
GACGGGGGGUCCUAGCGUUGUUCGGAAUCAUUGGGCGUAAAGCGGGCGUAGGUGGCUAUGUAAGUCAGGAGUGAAAGCCCUGGGCUCAACCCAGGAAGUGCUUUUGAAACUGCGUAGCUUGAGUGUGGAAGAGGAUAGUGGAAUUCCAGGUGUAGUGGUGAAAUACGUAGAUAUCUGGAGGAACACCGGUGGCGAAGGCGGCUAUCUGGUCCAACACUGACACUGAGGUGCGAAAGCGUGGGGAGCAAACAGG